rnacentral:rRNA from 1 species
CUCGGCAACGCAUAUCUCGGCUCUCGCAUCGAUGAAGAACGUAGCGAAAUGCGAUACUUGGUGUGAAUUGCAGAAUCCCGUGAACCAUCGAGUCUUUGAACGCAAGUUGCGCCCGACGCCAUCUGGCCGAGGGCACGUCUGCCUGGGUGUCACG